rnacentral:rRNA from 1 species
CAGCAGCCGCGGUAAUACGAAGGGUGCAAGCGUUAAUCGGAAUUACUGGGCGUAAAGCGCACGUAGGCGGCUUGGUAAGUUAGAGGUGAAAGCCUGGAGCUCAACUCCAGAAUUGCCUUUAAGACUGCCGAGCUAGCAGGUGAGAGAGGUAAGUGGAAUUCCGAGUGUAGAGGUGAAAUUCGUAGAUAUUCGGAAGAACACCAGUGGCGAAGGCGGCUUACUGGCUCAUACUGGACGCUGAGGUGCGAAAGCGUGGGGAGCAAACAGGAUUAGAUACCCCAGUAGUCCCUGUCUCUUAUAC